rnacentral:rRNA from 1 species
UACGUAGGGGUGCAAGCGUUAAUCGGAAUUACUGGGCGUAAAGCGUGCGCAGGCGGUUUUGUAAGUCUGUCGUGAAAUCCCCGGGCUCAACCUGGGAAUUGCGAUGGAGACUGCAAGGCUAGAAUCUGGCAGAGGGGGGUAGAAUUCCACGUGUAGCAGUGAAAUGCGUAGAGAUGUGGAGGAACACCGAUGGCGAAGGCAGCCCCCUGGGUCAAGAUUGACGCUCAUGCACGAAAGCGUGGGGAGCAAC